rnacentral:guide_RNA from 1 species
AUUAAUUAACGAAAGCAAUCUCUCACAUCAUAUUCGUUAGUUGGGUGUAAUUGUAGU